GAUGAACGCUAGCUACAAGCUUAACACAUGCAAGUCGAGGGGCAGCAUGAACUUAGCUUGCUAAGUUUGAUGGCGACCGGCGCACGGGUAAGUAACACGUAUCCAACCUGCCGAUGACUCGGGGAUAGCCUUUCGAAAGAAAGAUUAAUACCCGAUGGCAUAGUUCUUCCGCAUGGUGGAACUAUUAAAGAAUUUCGGUCAUCGAUGGGGAUGCGUUCCAUUAGGUUGUUGGCGGGGUAACGGCCCACCAAGCCUUCGAUGGAUAGGGGUUCUGAGAGGAAGGUCCCCCACAUUGGAACUGAGACACGGUCCAAACUCCUACGGGAGGCAGCAGUGAGGAAUAUUGGUCAAUGGACGAGAGUCUGAACCAGCCAAGUAGCGUGAAGGAUGACUGCCCUAUGGGUUGUAAACUUCUUUUAUACGGGAAUAAAGUGAGGCACGUGUGCCUUUUUGUAUGUACCGUAUGAAUAAGGAUCGGCUAACUCCGUG
rnacentral:rRNA from 1 species